rnacentral:rRNA from 1 species
UACAGAGGGUGCAAGCGUUAAUCGGAAUCACUGGGCGUAAAGGGCUCGUAGGCGGCCAACUAAGUCGGAUGUGAAAUCCCCAGGCUUAACCUGGGAACUGCAUCCGAUACUGGAUGGCUUGAAUCCGGGAGAGGGAUGCGGAAUUCCAGGUGUAGCGGUGAAAUGCGUAGAUAUCUGGAGGAACACCGGUGGCGAAGGCGGCAUCCUGGACCGGCAUUGACGCUGAGGAGCGAAAGCCAGGGGAGCAAACGGG